AGAUGGCGACCGGCGCACGGGUGAGUAACACGCAUCCAACCUGCCGAUAACUCGGGGGUAGCCUUUCGAAAGAAAGAUUAAUACCCGAUGGUAUAAUCAGACCGCAUGGUUUGAUUAUUAAAGAAUUUCGGUUAUCGAUGGGGAUGCGUUCCAUUAGGCAGUUGGUGAGGUAACGGCUCACCAAACCUUCGAUGGAUAGGGGUUCUGAGAGGAAGGUCCCCCACAUUGGAACUGAGACACGGUCCAA
rnacentral:rRNA from 1 species